rnacentral:sRNA from 1 species
CCUUUGGAGAGUCAUACUAAAUGGCAGUAGCUUUUUGCGAAACCAGACUCGGAGAAUAAGGAA